UCUUGGCUGUGAUUAUUUUUCAAGAGGUGCUGUAAUGUUCAACUUGCAAUGCUGUUUCAUACUGCAAUUUGAUUUACAAAUUGCAGAUAAUUUAUAACAAGUUGUUUCAUAAAUCAUUUUAAAGCACUAUUAGGGUAGAAAUACAUUCUAGACACGUAGAAAUCUGAAAUGUUCAUCUUAUGGUUUCAACGAUGCAAAUUGAUUUUCAAAACACUUGCAUUGCACAAAAUGAAUAGCUAUUUGAUCUAUAAAUUAAGAGUCUAAGGAUAAGUUUAUCAACAUUGUAGGAGUAAGGUUUACAACGCAAACUAAUUUACAAAUAAGUUUACAAUGUCUUUUCUCGAAUGAAGAUAUUAUCAAUUAUUAUAAGAACACAUUUUUGUUGGAUAAAAUGCCCUUCAAUGUAAUGAUUCAAAGUCUCCCACCCUUGCUGAAUUGGUGCACGACUCUAAGUUUUUACAUUAUACUUAAAUGGUCCACGGAGUGGAAGUUUAUCGACAUGUGGGGGGUUUAGAGGAGGCCAAAGAAAAAGACUUAGUGAAGGUUACUGGAGAUGGCUAGGUGAAGGGAACCUUCCUGUCUUUGGCCUUUGGGAGCAAUAAGAUAAAACAUUUUCAAUUACUCACUUCGACCUUGUGUCUCCUUGUCAGCUUAUGUCAUAUUUGUCGGGACCAUCUCCAUUGGAUUUCUGUCAAAACUGACAACAAAUAAGAAAAAUCCUGCUCUGAAGUUUGAUUUCUAAGUUGCUGAUUUCUAUAGUUUUAUUUCCACAAAUAGAUGGAGCAUGAUUUACACCCCUCUUUAAGUUUCACUCCACCUUCCAUUUUUAUAGACGUGUACUGUCGAUCGAGAAUUGGGAAGGAUGCAGUGGAUCUGGUGAUGCUUCCACUCAACACAAAGAAUUGAGUCUGGUUAUUAAACGGUCCUCUACUAUGGCACUCUUUUUUGCUGCUGUGCCUUUCUCAUGCGUUCUCAAUUGAGAUGAUAUAACUUGUCCUGAAGAUUAAGAAGUCUUUCGCGGAUUUGGUGAUCCAUGAGCAGAAAGAGUUAAGUCUAGA